UUUAAGGUCAAGGACUGUAUUCAUCACAUGAAUGCACUACAACAGAUGAUGGCACUUGCGAUGUUCUUGAUGGACAUUACUGUUUAAGUUUGGCAUCACCAAAUGAGUGCGCUUUCGCCAGAAAACAUACAGUCUGUACAGCUGGGCAGAAAGUUAGAACACCUGGUUCUAAGAGCUCAGACACUGAGUGUGAAGACUGUCCCAAGGGUCAGUACUCUACAGAUGGAGUGGACUGCAUUGCCUGGACUGAUUGUGAUGCCAUAGGAAAGAAAGCGGAAGAAGGAAGUGCUACAGCUGAUGUUAAAUGCACAGACUUACCCAGGCAGAGACACAUGCUCUUAUUGAGUGUUGUUAUGUUCUUAAUUCUAUGCGCCUUGGUCUAUUGUAGAAGAUUCCAGAAAAAAGGCAAGUUCAUUUUUUUGUGUUUGUCUCUUUCAGUGACUUAUCAAAUGUCACAGCUUAUGAUCAGUUUAUAUUGAAUUUGUCCUGAAAUUGAAAUUUCAGACUGUUCAGUAGUCUUGCAGCUCUUUAUUAAAUGAAUGUAUGUAUUAUGUUACCUCCAUGUAACCCUAAGUACAAUACAUCAUGUUGGGCUGGAGCUCCUCUGCUAUUGUUAGUAAAUAGAUAUCAGACAAUAUCCUGUCCACUAGACGAUACAUCCACCUUGUUAUGUAUACCUGCUACAAAAAUACCUCAAAGUGAAAGUUGAUCAGAUGCCAAUGUACAUAACCUCAAGAUGCAUUUGACAUCUGUGUCUGUGUCGGACACUCUUUUAUAUUCUAAUUAGAUCUUUACUCUUGGUCAGAUUCCUUACCUGAGGAGGAAGAGAAUUACAGAUAAUUAUUCCCCCCUUUCUAAUGUAACAUCAGUAGAGGCAUUACUUGAGAGGAACAAAUCAUCAAAGGUGCAGUGUGUAUUUUUAGUGGCGUCUAGUGGUGAGCUGAAUAUCAUAUGUUAAUAUGAUGGUUUGCUAACAAGGCACGAUAACGUUGGGUAGAUUUACGUAACUAGCUAAGUUCUAACCAUCUGCAAACCAUGUUGGUGGAAGUGUUAUGGUAGCUGCACAAAUGUCCAUCUUGCCUAUUAGGCAUGUGGUGCCCACUGAGGUUUGAUGGCAAUGAAGGUUUUGUGGGUGCAGGCAGAAGGCACUUGGCAGGGCACCAGAUGUGGUCAGGAUGGAGACGUUGGAAUCUUUGAAGGAUCUAGAGACUACAACAAGAAGGGGUGCAUGUUUUGACAGUUAAUUGCCUUGUGAAUAACCAAGAAUAUUGAAGCUAUGUAGCUUUAUUUUGUUUGCCAUUUUGUGGCUGGCUGUUAACUUUGCUUUUAAUGAGCCAUUGAUGGUCUACUUGUCUCAUUGAGAUGUCAGUGGUCAUAUGAAUUAGUAAAUACUGUCAGUAUGAUCUCCUUCUGUGUGUGUGUGCCCCUCCCACUGCUCCCCACAGCAGAACACAGUGUUUGGA